CCAGUUCCUGAUUCUGCUGAAAUAUACCCCAAGUUCAUGCUUCAUUACAUUCCUAAACUGCAGUGACAAAGAAUUUGAUAGUAGUCAAGUUGUCUCUCUCUGAGUACUAUGUUAUGUCAGGGAAUGAUGGGAGUUGAUUUGUGGAUAUAUAUUGCUUAACUAUGUACAGAGAAGGUAAAAAGUAAGUAAGGGGAUCACUGACCUUGGAAAGUAAAGUUCAUUCAUUUCAGAGAACAUAUGCUCUUUGGAACAGGGUCUCUGGAAGAGUAUUUAAGUUUCUGCACCCAGACAUCAGUAUUGGAAUUGGAUUUAACUUCUGCUGCCUAUAAUAGGAUAAGUCAUGCGGACAGCCAUCCUACUUUGGAUUCUGGCUUUGCUGUCACAAUCAGCUUUUGUCAUUUCAGAUCCUCAUUACCUGGUGGUUUUCCCAGCCAUAAUUGAUCUUCCCAAUGUGGAAAAGUUCUGCAUAUUAUUACGCUCCCUCCAAGAGACUAACUAUCUGCUGGUGACUUUGGAGUUGAAGAAUCAGAACCACACCUUAGCAGAGAAGGACGUGGAAGCACCAGGAACCUUUGAAUGUAUCCACUUCCAGGCACCAAGCUUUGUUUCCACAAGCAGGACUUAUUAUGGCGAAGAAGCAAUAGCCAAAGUGCAUAUUCUAAUCCGAAAGGGCACCACUGUGACUUUUGAGGCCCAGAAGAAAGUGCUACUCAAGAAAGCUUCUCCUAGGAAUCUUAUACAACCCAGCAAGGCCUUAUACAAGCCUGGAGAGAUAGGUAAGCACAAAU
rnacentral:lncRNA from 1 species